AGAGUUUGAUCAUGGCUCAGGACGAACGCUGGCGGCGUGCCUAUACAUGCAAGUCGAACGCACUGACGGAGAACUUGUUCUCUUGACGUGAGUGGCGCACGGGUGAGUAACACGUGGGAAACCUACCCUUCAGCGGGGGAUAACCAUCGGAAACGAUGACUAAUACCGCAUAGACGACAGAACCGCCUGGUUCAAUCGGGAAAGACGGCUUCGGCUGUCACUGAAGGAUGGUCCCGCGCUGCAUUAGCUAGUUGGUAAGGUAACGGCUUACCAAGGCGAUGAUGCAUAGCCGACCUGAGAGGGUGAUCGGCCACAUUGGGACUGAGACACGGCCCAAACUCCUACGGGAGGCAGCAGUAGGGAAUCUUCCGCAAUGGACGCAAGUCUGACGGAGCAACGCCGCGUGUGUGAAGAAGGUUUUCGGAUCGUAAAGCACUGUUAUUAGAGAAGAACAGCCGAUAGAGUAACUGUUAUCGGUUUGACGGUAUCUAACCAGAAAGUGACGGCUAACUACGUGCCAGCAGCCGCGGUAAUACGUAGGUCACAAGCGUUGUCCGGAUUUAUUGGGCGUAAAGGGAGCGCAGGCGGUUUGUUAAGUCUGAUGUGAAAGCCCACGGCUCAACCGUGGAACGGCAUUGGAAACUGGCAAACUUGAGUAUAGAAGAGGAAAGUGGAAUUCCAUGUGUAGCGGUGAAAUGCGUAGAUAUAUGGGGGAACACCAGUGGCGAAGGCGACUUUCUGGUCUAUAACUGACGCUGAGGCUCGAAAGCGUGGGGAGCGAACAGGAUUAGAUACCCUGGUAGUCC
rnacentral:rRNA from 1 species